UACUUACUAGCUCAGACAGUAGAGCAUCUGCCUGCAAUGCAGGAGACCUGGGUUCAAUCCCUGGGUCGGGAA
rfam:TPA: Bos taurus chromosome 4, whole genome shotgun sequence.